rnacentral:rRNA from 1 species
GGAUGAAGGCUCAACAGAAAGUAGUGUCUAGUGUUAAAAUAGUAAUUUGUGUUUUAUAUUAGAAUAUGUGGAUAGGAUUAAGGGACGAUAAGACCCUAUAAGCUUUAUAAGAGAGGUUUGUUUAGGGUUGAGAUCUUGGGGUGUUUAGCUGGGGUAGUAGUUAUGUUUUAUCUAUAAUUAUAAGGGGCUGGCAGAAAGGUGUUAAAGGUCCUUAAGAUGAGGAUAGGUCGAGUUAGUUACUUUAGGGGUAACAGCGUAAUAGCCCCGGAGAGGCCAUAUUUAUGGGGUUGAUUGCGACCUCGAUGUUGAAUUAGGAGGUCUUUUCGAAGCAAAAAUUGGGGGAGAGGGUUUGUUCAACCUUUAAAAUCCUACAUGAUUU